AUUUAAUAGAAAUCAUAAUACGUCAUUAUCAUUUGUUUCAUCCAUUGCUGGAUAUAUAUACUACCUUUUGGUUUCUAUAUGUAUCUAUGUUGUGCAGUCUGCAUCUACUGGUAAUCAAUUACUUAUCUCCAUUGUUUGUAUUGCCUUCCAGGAUAUCUCUUCCCUUGUCUUGGUUGCCAUUCUGCGAUUCUCUUUGUCCAUUAGUUAUUGAUAUAUCUUAUGUGGCUUACUCAAUCCCACUUAAUGUUUCUAACUGCUACCAUUGUCUUCUACUCUGGUUGGUUCUCUUAUCCAUAUGUUGAUCUUGCAGUUCUCCC
rnacentral:lncRNA from 1 species